rnacentral:lncRNA from 1 species
GCUAAGCAUGAAUUUCCUUCAUUUUUCAGUCCUGAGCCAAGUCUUUACUCUUUGAAGAUGUCAUUAAAACCACCUCAAAGUCUCUCUGCCUCACACUGUUAUUUUCAGGAAUUGCUUAAAGAGAGAGUGCUGUGACAAACAUGAAGAGAGCAACUGCUGCCCAGAGAACGGAAGUGGGUUACAGCUCGGAGGCAAUUUGCAGGGGAAAGAGAACAUGAGCUUUUAUAAUGAGGUAAAAGACUUGAUUUUUGGUCCAGUUAUGGAGGUGGUGAACAGAAGUGAAUAUUAAAUAGAAGUGUUAAACUGAAGAUGUAUGGUUCACACAACCUGACUAUAUGCAGUGAACUCAAAUGAGCUGGAGGUCAGUGAGCAAAGCAUAAAAACAUGCCCUUGGAAAAUUUGGUUAAAUCAGGGGAUGUGUCACCUCGCUUGUGUGUUUAUAGUAUCUAGAGGAGGAGAUAACAAAGAAAUUGAGGAUUUGACUGAUGUAUUUGUUUUGAAGGCAAAAUAGGACUGCUGUGGGGCACUUUUCCAUUCCUAUUCCAUGCAACGUUAGCCCAUUCCCAGAGCUAUGCUUCAAGAAAGACUAGGACAUAGGGUGAAAUCCAUUAAAACUGGCAGAAAAGUUGGCUGCAUUUCUGUAGAGUCAAUGAAAUCAAAUAGAAAUAUGAAGCUGAGAAAAAGGAAGGAAUGUGUGCGGCUGUGUGAAGUAGAGUCCAGCUCAGCCAUUGCAAAGUGGAAUGAGGACCUUGCCUGCCUGUCAGAAAAGGUAGGUACAGCAUGGGCACUGCCACUCUUGGCUAUCGCUUGACACGCAGAUGAAAUUUAACAAGGAAGCAAAUUAACCAGGAUACUCAUCCUAUCCUUCAGAGCACCUGAUCACGGGCCUGGCUGGAGGCUGGAAAUGAAUUCAGUGAACCUUUGGUACUGUGCAGCCAGGCAUUGCCUGUCUUGCCCUGUUCAUAAGCUGGUGAAGUUGGCACUGCAAUUGCUGAUGUUUUAGUCGCGUGUUUUGUCUGAAAAUGAGUAGAGCCAAGUCUUCUCCCAGGAGUAAAUGUUGCUGAUAAUAAUUCUUUUAUUUGUCUUCAUUCAUAUACAUGUUGCAAUGAUUAAAAAUAGCAGCUAGAUGGCUGGAGAAAUUCUCCAUAUAAUAAAACACAUCUGCCAAUGUAUUUCGCA